rnacentral:lncRNA from 1 species
CCUCAAAGUGGGGAUAGAACCGGCUUUUUACCCAUGUACGAAGGAGGUCCCAGAAUUACCCAGCACCACGUCAUUUGGUAUUUGUUUGGCAGCUAGCCAUUAAUAAUGAAAGUUGUCUUUGAGUUUUUGAAAAUGGACAAAAUCGGGCAUCUUUAUAUAAUGAAAUACUUUUAUUUGAAGGGCCUCAGCCCAACCAAAAUAAAACAUGAGCUUGUUUCGACUUUGGGCGAGUCUGCUUCUUCGUUUGCCUAAGUAGAAUUUUAAACAUGGCCGUAGGAGCUGUCAAUACGAACACUGAAGUUAUUGCCCAAGCGAGGUCCCGACUCUAGAAAUUGUGAAGAAAAUCUAAACAGUGGCACUGGUGGAUCGUCGACUGAAUGUGUAAGAGCUAGCAGACAUUU